CUCCCGCCCAUCUCCAGCCCUCAGCAAAUCUGUUUCUCGGACUCCCUCAAACUGCAAGGAGAGGCUGAAAGCCUGGACUACGGACACUCAAAAAGCAGUCCGCCCCUACCCGGCGUGCCCUCGACCACGGAGGCUGGCACCCCCGGGUGGCAGUGCAGCCCACCGCUAGGAUCCGGUUUUUGCAAUCAGGUAGGUAAAGGUCAGGAAGCGCCUGUCCCCAGUCCCGGAAUCCGGCGCGGGAGGGCGGGCCGGGGUGAAUCAUUAACCGGCCCCAGCCUGGCGCUCCUGGCGGCACCCGACAUCUCCACAGACACCACGCACUUGCUAGCCCAAAUCUCGAUCCCUAACCUGGGGGAGGGACACUCCAAAACACACAGAUGGACUGAUGGACGGACGGACCCCCACCACCUCCUGGUCAAGCCCCCUGGAAGAUCACGGUCUGAGGGACCUGGGCCCCCUCCUCAUAGCUUGGAAACUGAAGCCAAGGUUCCAAGGCCCAAGGUCACCCAGAAGGCGGUGGCCGGCAGGGGGAGGGGGGGGGGAAGGGGAGCGGGCCUCCCGCCAGCAACUUUCCCGGAUCCAGGAACUUUCCUGCCGGCCAGCAGCCCCUGAGUCCAGGCCUGGGCUCCUUCCAAUGCCCCCGGAGCGCGCAGGCUCUGGGAUCCCCAUUCAUCGUCUCCAGGCGCUCGGGCCACGGUGUGAGGUGGGUCCAGGACUUCGGACCCCAGCCUGGUUGCGCCCCCGCGGAAGCUCCAGUGCCGGCAGUUCCCAGGACCCGCAGAUUCGGCAGGAAAUGCCGCUCGCUUAACUCUCCCAUCUGGGCCUGCCCCAGACAGGGCAGUCUCCUCUACGGGGGUACGUGGACUCCAGCCGGACAGGGCGUGAGUACCCCACCCCGGCCGCCACACUCACCAGCACCGAAGGGAGGCUGGAUGGAUCAGCGGAUGGCUGGCUCUCAGAGCAACAGCAGGAAAGGAUUUCCUGAGACCGGAGGCCACACUGUGGAGCAUCCCACCUGAGCCUGCUCCACCUACAGAGAAAGGCUCCGUUUGCCCCAGGAGACAGUAAAGAUCCCAGACCCUCAGCCCAUCAAGCAGC